UACGGAGGGUGCAAGCGUUAUCCGGAAUCAUUGGGUUUAAAGGGUCCGUAGGCGGAUUUAUAAGUCAGUGGUGAAAGCCUGAUGCUUAACAUCAGAACUGCCAUUGAUACUGUAAGUCUUGAAUUCGAUCGAAGUGGGCGGAAUAUGACAUGUGGCGGUGAAAUGCUUAGAUAUGUCAUAGAACACCGAUAGCGAAGGCAGCUCACUAGGUCUGGAUUGACGCUCAGGGACGAAAGCGUGGGGAGCAAACAGG
rnacentral:rRNA from 1 species